CGGUCGUCCAUUAUCAGUUGUUCCGCGGUAGAGGAAGGUUACUCCACAAUCCAGGUAGCGGCUGCUAUUAGUACGGCGCAUAAUAGAAAAAUCAAAAGAUAUUCUGCCCAGUGAACUGUGAUUGAAAAAUAGAAGCAUUUUUGAGCAUCUGAUAUCCGCCACAGCUUGCCCCACGAAUCAUGGCUACGAUUCCGGUGUACUCGCCUGUCAUUCCGUUCCUGGGACUUAUUCCCGGUGGGCUACAACCGGGCCGCAUGAUACGCAUCAAGGGCAUCAUCCAAAAUCACGGCGAGCGUUGCCAGAUUCACUUGCAAACCGGUGCGGCACUGAACCCGCGGGAUGACGCACCGCUGCAUAUCAGCAUCCGGCCACAUGAGUUCGUGAUCGGGCGUAACUCGAUCCAGCGGCAGGUGAUCGGUGCCGAGGAGCGUCACGGUGGCUGUCCGGUGCGGGUUGGCGAAAGCUUCGAUCUGCUUAUCCUGGCCGAGACGACCCAGUACAAGCUGGCCAUCAAUGGGGUACACUUUUGCACCUUCAGCCACCGUUUGCCACUGUUCAACGUGAAGUUCAUCUCAGUGAGCGGUGGCUGCGUCAUCUAUUCGAUCCUGUCGGAAGCCGACUCUUCGAUCGGUUCACUUCCAUCGAAUCCGUAUCCACCGAUUGUGCAUCCGCCAGCAGCACCGUACGUACCACCAACGGUGGGUUUCAUUCCGCAAGCCCCGUUGCCUCCGCCGCCGCCCUACACACCCACUCCAACGUAUCCGAUUGUCGGUGGCGGUGGUGGUCACUAUCCAGGACAGGGAUGGCCACCAGCCUCAGUACCACCACCACCGCCACCACAGCCAGCUUAUCCGCAUCCGGUCUAUCCAACGGCACCGUUGCACCCACCGGCCGUACCCUUCUCGGUACUGUUCAAGGAGGAACUGCAGGCGAAGAUAGAGCAAAUGUAAAGACAAACCCUCUUCACACUCUGCCUGCCCCCCACCUUGUGUAGCGAUUGUGUUUAGUACAAGUGCUGUGCUGAGUACGGGCGCGCUAUAACGGCUUUCGAAAAGGAAAACCAAGAAAUUAUUAAAAUAUGGAGCCGUGGCUGGAGCUGUUGGACUUGGAGGCUACGUUGCAGCGUCAGCUUUCCGCCAUAAACGCAAGAGCAGCAGCAGUAGCAGUAGCAGCAGCAGCAGCAGCAGCAGCAGCAGUAGUGACAGUGAUUAAUUAUUCCUACUAUUUCAUGCACUUUGAUAAACAUUUAGACAACCUUAAGUAUGGUUCGAUCCCUUCUGUGAGGCUCUGUAGAGCUGUCGCGUGAUUAUAUUACUGAGCUGAAACAAUAAAAAAAUGCCACAACAGUGGAUUGAUGUGAUGUUUAAA